UCUCAUAAGAAAUGGUUUUAAAAAGUCAGUUUCCCUUGAGCUCUUUCUCCUGCUGCCUUGUGAGGAAGGUGCCUGCUUUCCCUUCACCUUCUGCCAUGAUUGCAAGUGUCCUGUAUCCUCCUGGCCAUGUGGAACUGUGAGUCAAUUAAAUCUUUUUUCUUUAUAAAUCACCCAGUCUCAGGUAUUCUUUAGAACAGUGUGACAUCGGACUAAAACACUAUUUCUCCCAGCCCGAAUGCUGGAGUGAGUGUAUAUGCAACUGAUAUCCCCAGUAACUGGGGGCUCCCUUUGGCUGCUAAGUGAAUGGCAGGGAGGCUUGAGGCUGCGCUGUUCACUUUAGGAAACAGCGAGGUGUCUGAGCUAGGGAAUCCUAAAAAGGAUUACUGUCACAAAUUGAACUGAAAUUUAAGAAACACACAAACUGAAACAAGACCUUUUAAUUUGUAGCCCCAAACAGGCAAACUGCUCUGUUGAAACAAUUAAGCAGCUGUGAUGAGGAGGGGCAGCAAUACACAGCAGCUGCCCGGAUUUCCAAGGAGGUUACAGAGAGUUCACGGACUUAGAACCACUCUAGCUCACCUGGCUCCACGUGGCGACUCCAGGCUCUGCACCCUUCCGGCCGCUAAGACAAGGCCUCAGACACGGGGUUCUGCCCUGUUUACUGUCAGCAGAGCCAAGCUGAGAAGGAUGGGCACGAGAAAAGGUUGCUAACUUUGGAGGAAGCCAGCUGCCAUGUCACAAAAAGAUUCAGGAAGCCAUGUGGGGAGGCCCACAUCAUGAGGAACUGAGGUCUUUGCCAAUUACCAGCAAGGAAAUGAGGCCUCCUGCCAACAGCCAUGUGAGUAUCCUACCUUGGAAAUGGACCCUCUAACUUUAAUCAGCCUUCAAAUAACUGCAGCCCCAGUUGAUGGCUUGACUGCAACCUUAGGAGAAACCCCGAGCCAAAAACAUUGAGGAAAAACACCCCCAGAUUCCUAUCAGAAAUUGUGUAAGAUAAUAAAUGUUUAUUGUUUUAAGCUGCUAA